rnacentral:rRNA from 1 species
GACGGGGGGGGCAAGUGUUCUUCGGAAUGACUGGGCGUAAAGGGUACGUAGGCGGCGCUGUCAGUCGGGUGUGAAAUCCCAGGGCUCAACCCUGGAACUGCGCCCGAUACUGCAGUGCUUGAGGGAGACAGAGGUAAGCGGAACUGAUGGUGGAGCGGUGAAAUGCGUUGACAUCAUCAGGAACACCAGUGGCGAAAGCGGCUUACUGGGUCUCUUCUGACGCUGAGGUACGAAAGCUAGGGGAGCGAAGGGG